AGGAUUUGAUUUAAAAUUUAGAACUAAUUAGAACUUGAUUAAAAUUUGAUUUAAGAUUUUAUAAGGAUUUGUAAAAGGUUUAUUUUAGGAUUUGAUUAGGAUUUGGUUCAAGAUUUGUUUAUGAUUUAUUUAUGAUUUGGAUUAAGAUUUGCUUAUGUUUUGAUUUAGAGUUUAGAAUUUGGUUAAAAUUUAAAUAAUAUUUGAUUUAAG
rnacentral:lncRNA from 1 species